rnacentral:rRNA from 1 species
AGAUUGAACGCUGGCGGCAGGCCUAACACAUGCAAGUCGAGCGGCAGCACGGGUACUUGUACCUGGUGGCGAGCGGCGGACGGGUGAGUAAUGCCUAGGAAUCUGCCUGAUAGUGGGGGAUAACGCUCGGAAACGGACGCUAAUACCGCAUACGUCCUACGGGAGAAAGCAGGGGACCUUCGGGCCUUGCGCUAUCAGAUGAGCCUAGGUCGGAUUAGCUAGUUGGUGGGUAAUGGGCUCACCAAGGCGACGGAUCCCGUAACUGGUCUGGAGAGGAUGAUCAGUCACACUGGGAACUGAGACACGGGUCCAGACUCCUA